CAGCAGCCGCGGGAAAACAGAGGGUGCGAGCGUUAAUCGGAUUUACUGGGCGUAAAGCGUGCGUAGGCGGCUUUUUAAGUCGGAUGUGAAAUCCCUGAGCUUAACUUAGGAAUUGCAUUCGAUACUGGGAAGCUAGAGUAUGGGAGAGGAUGGUAGAAUUCCAGGUGUAGCGGUGAAAUGCGUAGAGAUCUGGAGGAAUACCGAUGGCGAAGGCAGCCAUCUGGCCUAAUACUGACGCUGAGGUACGAAAGCAUGGGGAGCAAACAGGAUUAGAUACCCCCGUAGUCCCUGUCUCUUAUAA
rnacentral:rRNA from 1 species